GAUGAACGCUGGCGGCGUGCCUAAUACAUGCAAGUCGAGCGAACGGACGAGAAGCUUGCUUCACUGAUGUUAGCGGCGGAAGGGAGAGUAACACGUGUAUAACCUACCUAUAAGACUGGGAUAACUUCCGGAAACCGGAGCUAAUACCGGCUAAUAUUUUGAACCGCAUGGUUCAAAAGUGAAAUUCGGUUUUCCCGUCUCGUAUAGACGAUGCCGGGCUGCAUUAGCUAGUUGGUAAGGUAAUGGCUUACCAAGGCAACGAUGCGUAGCUGACCUGAGAGGGCGAUCGGCCACACUGGAACUGAGACACGGUCCAGACUCCUACGGGAGGCAGCAGUGGGGAAUGUUGGACAAUGGGCGCAAGCCUGACGCAGCAACGCCGCGUGAGGGAAGAAGGUCUUCGGAUCGUAAACCGCUGUUAUACGGAACGAACAUAUUCGUGCGAAAAUCUGGAGAUGUUGACGGUACCUUAUGAAAAAGCAACGGCUAACUACGUG
rnacentral:rRNA from 1 species